AGCGGGGGAUAACUAUUGGAAACGAUAGCUAAUACCGCAUGACAAUAGGGUACACAUGUACCCUAUUUAAAAGGGGCAAAUGCUUCACUAUGAGAUGGACCUGCGUUGUAUUAGCUAGUUGGUAAGGUAACGGCUUACCAAGGCGACGAUACAUAGCCGACCUGAGAGGGUGAUCGGCCACACUGGGACUGAGACACGGCCCAGACUCCUACGGGAGGCAGCAGUAGGGAAUCUUCGGCAAUGGGGGGAACCCUGACCGAGCAACGCCGCGUGAGUGAAGAAGGUUUUCGGAUCGUAAAGCUCUGUUGUUAGAGAAGAACGGUAAUGGGAGUGGAAAAUCCAUUACGUGACGGUAACUAACCAGAAAGGGACGGCUAACUACGUGCCAGCAGCCGCGGUAAUACGUAGGUCCCGAGCGUUGUCCGGAUUUAUUGGGCGUAAAGCGAGCGCAGGCGGUUUGAUAAGUCUGAAGUUAAAGGCUGUGGCUUAACCAUAGUUCGCUUUGGAAACUGUCAAACUUGAGUGCAGAAGGGGAGAGUGGAAUUCCAUGUGUAGCGGUGAAAUGCGUA
rnacentral:rRNA from 1 species